rnacentral:rRNA from 1 species
UUUAUGGAGAGUUUGAUCCUGGCUCAGGAUGAACGCUGGCGGCGUGCCUAAUACAUGCAAGUCGAGCGAACAGAUAAGGAGCUUGCUCCUUUGACGUUAGCGGCGGACGGGUGAGUAACACGUGGGUAACCUACCUAUAAGACUGGAAUAACUCCGGGAAACCGGGGCUAAUGCCGGAUAACAUGUUGAACCGCAUGGUUCUACAGUGAAAGACGGUCUUGCUGUCACUUAUAGAUGGACCCGCGCCGUAUUAGCUAGUUGGUGGGGUAACGGCCUACCAAGGCGACGAUACGUAGCCGACCUGAGAGGGUGAUCGGCCACACUGGAACUGAGACACGGUCCAGACUCCUACGGGAGGCAGCAGUAGGGAAUCUUCCGCAAUGGGCGAAAGCCUGACGGAGCAACGCCGCGUGAGUGAUGAAGGUCUUCGGAUCGUAAAGCUCUGUUGUUAGGGAAGAACAAAUGUGUAA